rnacentral:rRNA from 1 species
UACGUAGGGUGCAAGCGUUAUCCGGAUUUAUUGGGCGUAAAGGGCUCGUAGGCGGUUCUUCGCGUCCGGUGUGAAAGUCCAUCGCUUAACGGUGGAUCCGCGCCGGGUACGGGCGGGCUUGAGUGCGGUAGGGGAGACUGGAAUUCCCGGUGUAACGGUGGAAUGUGUAGAUAUCGGGAAGAACACCAAUGGCGAAGGCAGGUCUCUGGGCCGUUACUGACGCUGAGGAGCGAAAGCGUGGGGAGCGAACAGG